ACCAAAUUUAUUUUACAGUUAGGCGUAUAAAAUAUAUCUUUUGUCGCUUUGCACAAAAAAGAACAAAUGUGGAAAUUUUCAGAAUGGUUUUGGAAAAGUUCAUUCUGGCUUCCAGAUGGUAUAUCUUUCGAUGAUUUUGAAGAUAAUGAAGGUACAUCAUACCCAAAACCAAGAGAUAUGUUGUUUGUGCCAUGUUUUGCACUCGCAAUGCUGUUAAUAAGAUAUUUAUUCGAAAGAUUCGUUGCCCUCCCGUUUGCAAAGUACAAUGAGCUUUCUGAUGAAAUAAAGAUGAAAUCUCAAAUACCCAAUAGGACGUUGGAAACUUUUUAUAGGAAAAAAUCAGUACAUCCUACGAAGUCGAAUAUCGAAGAAUUAUCAAAACGAUUAAACAUGCAUCAAUCGGACAUACGUAAUUGGUUCCGGCGCAGAAGAAAUAAUGACAAACCGAGCGUACAAACGAAGUUCAUCGAAACGAGCUGGAAAUUCACAUAUUACACCGCAAUAUUUAUUUAUGGGAUGUCAUAUCUUUGGAAGGAACCUUGGUUUUGGGAUCACGCUAAAUGCUGGGAUAAUUUCCCACAUCAGAAUCUCGAUGCUGCUAUUUACAUUCAUUUCGUUAUUGAAUCAGGAUAUUAUGCAUCACUCGUGAUUUCAGCACCGAAUGAUAUUAUAAGAAAGGACUUUUGGGAACAGAUGAUACAUCAUAUUGCAACAUUGAUACUCAUAAUAUUCUCAUACGCCUUGAACUUUGUCAGAAUAGGGGCACUGACUAUGGUUCUCCAUGAUGCCGCAGACUUGUUGUUACAAGGGGCAAAAUGCCUAGCAUAUAUUCAAAAAUCAAAAAUGGCGGAUUUUACCUUUCUAUGUUUUGCAAUCACUUUCUUAGUGACGAGACUUGCUAUAUUUCCAUUUUGGAUAAUUCAUAACGCCGUCACGAGCGUUUCAAUAAUAGGACCAUACACAGCAAAUUACCUCUUUACUGGACUUCUAUGCAUUCUCCAGUGUUUACAUGUAUACUGGUCUUUGAUUAUACUUAAAAUGGCGAAGGAAAUGAUGUUCCGUAAACCUGGAGAGAAACUCAGCGACCACCGAAGUGAUGAGGAAGAGUUGUCAGAAAAUGAAAAGAAAAUCACGUAAAAAAUACAAUACAAUCUGAUUGUCCUUCUCGAGAGAGAUUCUGAGACUUUAAAUUUUGUUCAAUACACGAGGACCUGGCGAGAGCUUGUGAUCUACAGCUAUGUGAUGGAAUGAAACGAUUUAUACUAUUCUACUUUCAAAAUCAAAUACGGAUCAAUUAAUGUUAGCAUACACGAAGGAUGUGGGAGUAAUCUAAAAUACCCCAAAUAUUAUUCUAAUUUUUAUAUAGCAAAAGUCCGCAGGUUUCGGUCGACACGACGUGUGAAGUACUUUAAGCCAGUGGUUCUUUAACUUUUCUAAGCACGACUCAAAUUUGAGUUUUAUGUACCUCUUGCAAAUGUAUUGAUAUUAGAACUCCGCUAAUUUUUCAGAUAUGUGUGAUAUAUUCAUGGCACAUACGAGUUAUAGCAAGGGCUGGAAAUUUCAGGGAAAACG